rnacentral:rRNA from 1 species
UGGGGAAUUUUGGACAAUGGGCGCAAGCCUGAUCCAGCCAUGCCGCGUGCGGGAAGAAGGCCUUCGGGUUGUAAACCGCUUUUGUCAGGGAAGAAAUCUUCUGAGUUAAUACCUCGGGAGGAUGACGGUACCUGAAGAAUAAGCACCGGCUAACUACGUGCCAGCAGCCGCGGUAAUACGUAGGGUGCAAGCGUUAAUCGGAAUUACUGGGCGUAAAGCGUGCGCAGGCGGUUUUGUAAGACAGAGGUGAAAUCCCCGGGCUCAACCUGGGAACUGCCUUUGUGACUGCAAGGCUUGAGUGCGGCAGAGGGGGAUGGAAUUCCGCGUGUAGCAGUGAAAUGCGUAGAUAUGCGGAGGAACACCGAUGGCGAAGGCAAUCCCCUGGGCCUGCACUGACGCUCAUGCACGAAAGCGUGGGGAGCAAACAGGAUUAGAUACCCUGGUAGUCCACGCCCUAAACGAUGUCAACUAGUUGUUGGGGAUUCAUUUCCUUAGUAACGUAGCUAACGCGUGAAGUUGACCGCCUGGGGAGUACGGCCGCAAGAUUAAAAGCUCAAAUGAAUUGACGGGGUCAUAGCUG